rnacentral:rRNA from 1 species
GAGUAACACGUGAGAAACCUGCCCCGAAGACAGGGAUAAGCGCGGGAAACUGCGUCUAAUACCUGAUGCCUUCUCUGCACCACAUGGUGCGUUGAAGAAAUGAUUUAUCGCUUCGGGAGGGUCUCGCGGCCUAUCAGCUUGUUGGUGGGGUAACGGCCUACCAAGGCGUCGACGGGUAGCUGGUCUGAGAGGAUGAUCAGCCACACUGGGACUGAGAUACGGCCCAGACUCCUACGGGAGGCAGCAGUUAGGAGUCUUGCGCGGUGGGCGAAAGCCUGACGCAGCAACGCCGCGUGAGGGAUGAAGGCUCUCGGGUUGUAAACCUCUUUCAGCAGGAACGAAAUUGACGGUACCUGCAGAAGAAGCUCCGGCCAACUACGUGCCAGCAGCCGCGGUAAUACGUAGGGAGCAAGCGUUGUCCGGAUUCAUUGGGCGUAAAGAGCUCGUAGGCGGCUUAGUAAGUCAGAUGUGAAAACUCCAGGCUCAACCUGGAGACGCCAUUUGAUACUGCUAUGGCUUGAGUUCGGUAGGGGACCAUGGAAUUCCUGGUGUAGCGGUGAAAUGCGCAGAUAUCAGGAGGAACACCGAUGGCGAAGGCAGUGGUCUGGGCCGAAACUGACGCUGAGGAGCGAAAGCGUGGGUAGCGAACAGGAUUAGAUACCCUGGUAGUCCACGCCGUAAACGUUGGGUACUAGGUGUGGGAGAUAACCAAUGUCUUCCGUGCCGCAGCUAACGCAUUAAGUACCCCGCCUGGGGAGUACGGUCGCAAGACUAAAACUCAAGGGAAUUGACGGGGGCCCGCACAAGCGGCGGAGCAUGUCGCUUAAUUCGAUGCAACGCGAAAAACCUCACCUAGGUUUGACAUGUAGGGAAAAGCCACAGAGAUGUGGUGUCCUUCGGGGCCCUACACAGGUGGUGCAUGGCUGUCGUCAGCUCGUGUCGUGAGAUGUUGGGUUAAGUCCCGCAACGAGCGCAACCCUUAUCCUGUGUUGCCAGCGCGUAAUGGCGGGGACUCGCAGGAGACUGCCGGGGUCAACUCGGAGGAAGGUGGGGACGAGGUCAGGUCAUCAUGCCCCUUACACCUAGGGCUGCAGACAUGCUACAAUGGCUGGUACAAAGGGCUGCUAUCCCGCGAGGGUGAGCGAAUCCCAUAAAGCCAGUCUCAGUUCGGAUUGAAGUCUGCAACUCGACUUCAUAAAGCCGGAGUCGCUAGUAAUCCCGGAUCAGCAUUGCCGGGGUGAAUACGUUCCCGGGCCU